UUAGAUACCCCGGUAGUCCUGGCCGUAAACGAUGGGUACUAGGUGUAGGAGGUAUCGACCCCUUCUGUGCCGGAGUUAACGCAAUAAGUACCCCGCCUGGGGAGUACGACCGCAAGGUUGAAACUCAAAGGAAUUGACGGGGGCCCGCACAAGCGGUGGAGUAUGUGGUUUAAUUCGACGCAACGCGAAGAACCUUACCAGGUCUUGACAUUGAUGGACAGAACCAGAGAUGGUUCCUCUUCUUCGGAAGCCAGAAAACAGGUGGUGCACGGUUGUCGUCAGCUCGUGUCGUGAGAUGUUGGGUUAAGUCCCGCAACGAGCGCAACCCCUAUCUUAUGUUGCCAGCACUUUGGGUGGGGACUCAUGAGAGACUGCCGCAGACAAUGCGGAGGAAGGCGGGGAUGACGUCAAAUCGUCAUGCCCCUUAUGACCUGGGCUACACACGUACUACAAUGGGAGUUAAUAGACGGAAGCGAGAUCGCGAGAUGGAGCAAACCCGAGAAACACUCUCUCAGUUCGGAUCGUAGGCUGCAACUCGCCUACGUGAAGUCGGAAUCGCUAGUAAUCGCAGGUCAGCAUACUGCGGUGAAUACGUUCCCGGGCCUUGUACACACCGCCCGUCACACCACGAAAGUCGGAAGUGCCCAAAGCCGGUGGGGUAACCUUCGGGAGCCAGCCNU
rnacentral:rRNA from 1 species